CUCUGUGAAGUGUACACCCAGGAACUUAUUGCUGCUCACCCUCUCCACAGCAGCACUGUUGAUGGUCAGAGGUGUCAGGUGUGUGCUCUCCUGAAGUCCAAAACAAUCUCUUUUGUCUUCUCCACAUUCAGGGAGAGAUUGUUGUGCUCGUACCUUGAGGUCAGGUGGUUCACCUCGUUCCUGUAGUUGAUAUCACUUUUAUUGUUGAAG